rnacentral:rRNA from 1 species
UACGAAGGUCCCGAGCGUUGUUCGGAAUCACUGGGCGUAAAGGGAGCGUAGGCGGCGUGGUAAGUCAGAUGUGAAAUCCCGGGGCUCAACCCCGGAACUGCAUCCGAUACUGCCGUGCUUGAGGGUUGGAGAGGUAGCUGGAAUUAUCGGUGUAGCAGUGAAAUGCGUGGAUAUCGAUAGGAACACUCGUGGCGAAGGCGAGCUACUGGACAGUUACUGACACUGAGGCACGAAGGCCAGGGGAGCAAACGGG